GUUUGUGGAUAGUUACGGUAGUUUGAUAAAACGUUUCUUUGCAAUCAAAAGAGUCGGUAAUACUACUUCAUCGAAUCUCAAAAAUGAAAUAUGUGAUGUUCUUGCUCAAUAUGAAUUUCAUUUGAACAAAAUGAGAGGACAAGGGUAUGAUGGCGCUAGAAACAUGCGAGGUGCUUGGAAAAGUUGAUGAGUUUUAAGUUCAUAUCUAUCUUCCAUUUGAUGCAUAGAAUAAUGAGAACCAGUGAUGUUAUUUGUCAAGCCCUUCAAAGAAGAUCCCAAGACAUCUUGGCUGCUUUAAGAUUUGUGUCUACCACUAAACAAUUGCUUCAAAAAUUGAGAGAUGACGAUUGGGAAGAAUUUUUUCAAGAGGUAAAAUCUUUUUGCUCAAAGAAUAAUAUUACAAUACCCGAUCUAGAAGGUUUGUAUGACACUGGCCAUUCUAGUGAUGAAACUACAAUUGAGCAUUAUUAUCACUAUAAUGUUUUUAAUGAAGCAAUAGAUUUUGUAACGAUGGAGUUAAAUACAAAAUUUAAUGACAUAUUAGUAGAACUCCUCUCUCUCAGUGCAGCUUUGGAUCCUAAAGAUUCAUUUAGAUCAUUUGACAGUCAAAAAAUUUGCUCACUUGCUGAGAAAUUCUAUCCUCAAGAUUUUUCGAAGCAAGUUAUUAUUACAUUGGAACAUGAGUUACCACAUUAUGAGUCAAAUAUGAAGGGUGAGUCCCGAUUUCAUGUAUCUACACUUGCUGAGUUAUGUAGGCAUUUGGCUGAGAGUGGAAGGUCGAAGAUUUACAUUAUGACGACUAGAUUGAUUCAACAUUA
rnacentral:lncRNA from 1 species